CCUGCAUCCCCCUCGGUCCAUUCUGCCAGCUCCCAAAGCCGGGCCGUGCCUGCGAGGUCACCUCGGGCAGAGCCGCCUGCCUGGCUCGGCGAGGGGAACAGGCGGAGUCCGUGGCGUGUGUGGAAAAUCUCCCUGCAGAAUCUAACGGGAGCACCGCGAGCUGGCCUGUGCGGGGUCUGCCUGAGAAAUGAGAGCAUGGAGAAGGAAUGUCAGGACCUGCUCCCAGAGAAAUGAGCGAACCAUCUGCCAAAAGCACAGAAAAGCACCAGACCAUCAACUUUGCUGCUUCUCCAGUGGGAGAAAUGACAUCCGCAGGCGAAAAUCAGAGGCAACACACACUGCCUUCCAAAUGUAAAGGGAGGGAUGGAAAAAGAGCCAGGAAGAGAAGGUAACUCCAGCACAGAGAGCGAUGCAGAGGGGCCAUCUGAGAGGCAUGAACAGAGUAAUGCACUCAGUCUUUCAGCAGCCUUCAAUUGCUGCUCCUUCCAUGCAGGAA